rnacentral:rRNA from 1 species
UGGUUCGUUACGUCGGAUGUGAAAAUCUGGGGCUCAACCCCAGACCUGCAUCCGAUACGGUCGAGCUAGAGUUUGGUAGGGGAGACUGGAAUUCCUGGUGUAGCGGUGGAAUGCGCAGAUAUCAGGAGGAACACCAAUGGCGAAGGCAGGUCUCUGGGCCAAUACUGACACUGAGGAGCGAAAGCGUGGGGAGCGAACAGGAUUAGAUACCCUGGUAGUCCACGCCGUAAACGGUGGGCGCUAGUUGUGGGAACCUUCCACGGUUUCUGCGACGCAGCUAACGCAUUAAGCGCCCCGCCUGGGGAGUACGAUCGCAAGAUUAAAACUCAAAGGAAUUGACGGGGCCCCGCACAAGCAGCGGAGCAUGCGGCUUAAUUCGACGCAACGCGAAGAACCUUACCAAGGCUUGACAUAUACAGGAAUAUGGCAGAGAUGUCAUAGCGGUAAAACGUCUGUAUACAGGUGGUGCAUGGUUGUCGUCAGCUCGUGUCGUGAGAUGUUGGGUUAAGUCCCGCAACGAGCGCAACCCUCGUUCUGUGUUGCCAGCAUUUAGUUGGGGACUCACAGGAGACUGCCGGGGUUAACUCGGAGGAAGGUGGGGAUGACGUCAAAUCAUCAUGCCCCUUAUGUCUUGGGCUGCACGCAUGCUACAAUGGCUGGUACAAAGGGCUGCAAUACUGCAAAGUGGAGCGAAUCCCAAAAAGCCAGUCUCAGUUCGGAUUGGGGUCUGCAACUCGACCCCAUGAAGUCGGAGUUG